rnacentral:rRNA from 1 species
CCUACGGGGGGCAGCAGUGGGGAAUAUUGCACAAUGGGGGAAACCCUGAUGCAGCGACGCCGCGUGAGCGAUGAAGUAUUUCGGUAUGUAAAGCUCUAUCAGCAGGGAAGAAAAUGACGUUACCUGACUAAGAAGCCCCGGCUAACUACGUGCCAGCAGCCGCGGUAAUACGUAGGGGGCAAGCGUUAUCCGGAUUUACUGGGUGUAAAGGGAGCGUAGCCGGCUGUGCAAGCCAGAUGUGAAAGCCCGGGGCUCAACCCCGGGACUGUAUUUGGAACUGCGUGGCUGGAGUGCAGGAGGGGCAGGCGGAAUUCGUGGGGUAGCGGUGAAAUGCGUAGAGAUCAGGAGGAACACCGGUGGCGAAGGCGGCCUGCUGGACUGCAACUGACGUUGAGGCCCGAAAGCGUGGGGAGCAAACAGGAUUAGAUACACCUGUAGUC